CAUGUGGUUUAAUUCGAUGAUACGCGAGGAACCUUACCAGGGCUUAAAUGUAGAUUGACAGGACUAGAGAUAGUUUUUCCUUCGGGCAAUUUACAAGGUGCUGCAUGGUUGGUCGUCAGCUCGUGCCGUGAGGUGUCAGGUUAAGUCCUAUAACGAGCGCAACCCCUGUUGUUAGUUGCCAGCGAGUAAUGUCGGGAACUCUAACAAGACUGCCGGUGCAAACCGUGAGGAAGGUGGGGAUGACGUCAAAUCAUCACGGGCCUUACGUCCUGGGCUACACACGUGCUACAAUGGUAGGUACAGAGGGCAG
rnacentral:rRNA from 1 species